UCCGUGACUGGACGACACAUACCUCAAUGGAUAAGUAGUUUGUUUCCCCUCAACACCGAUAGUUCUGGAACCACAACCAUGAAAUGAGGGGCGCGGCCCGUCAGAGCCCUAUGGAGGAGUUGGUGGCUGCCUGGUACUCUGGAAUGCUGUUGUUCAGGCCUCUAGUUUCCUGAGACAUCCUCUCUUCUAGACAUUCCUCCAGCCAUGAAAAUGUAUCUCUAUCUAUUACAACCACAGAGGAGAUUUGUUUGUGUGGACUCCUGAGAACCAGCACACCAGGCUGUCGUCUUGGGAAACAGUGGAUGUAAAGAAUCUAGCUAGCUAAAGCAUUUACUGCAAAUUG